rnacentral:tRNA from 2 species
GGAGUGAUGACCGAGUGGCCGAAGGUGCUCCCCUGCUAAGGGAGUAUGGGGUGUAGAGCCUCAUCGAGGGUUCGAAUCCCUCUCGCUCCGCCA